rnacentral:rRNA from 1 species
AGAGUUUGAUCCUGGCUCAGGACGAACGCUGGCGGCGUGUUUAACACAUGCAAGUCGAGCGGAAAGGCCCUUCGGGGUACUCGAGCGGCGAACGGGUGAGUAACACGUGAGUAACCUGCCCCUGACUCUGGGAUAAGCCCGGGAAACUGGGUCUAAUACCGGAUAUGACACCUCCUCGCAUGGGGUGGGUGUGGAAAGUUUUUCGGUUGGGGAUGGACUCGCGGCCUAUCAGCUUGUUGGUGGGGUAAUGGCCUACCAAGGCGACGACGGGUAGCCGGCCUGAGAGGGCGACCGGCCACACUGGGACUGAGACACGGCCCAGACUCCUACGGGAGGCAGCAGUGGGGAAUAUUGCGCAAUGGGCGAAAGCCUGACGCAGCGACGCCGCGUGGGGGAUGACGGCCUUCGGGUUGUAAACCUCUUUCAGCAGGGACGAAGUUGACGUGUACCUGCAGAAGAAGCGCCGGCUAACUACGUGCCAGCAGCCGCGGUAGUACGUAGGGCGCAAGCGUUGUCCGGAAUUAUUGGGCGUAAAGAGCUCGUGGGUGGCUUGUCACGUCGGGUGUGAAAGCUUGGGGCUUAACUCCAGGUCUGCAUUCGAUACGGGCUGGCUAGAGGUAGGUAGGGGAGAACGGAAUUCCUGGUGUAGCGGUGAAAUGCGCAGAUAUCAGGAGGAACACCGGUGGCGAAGGCGGUUCUCUGGGCCUUACCUGACGCUGAGGAGCGAAAGCGUGGGGGGCGAACAGGAUUAGAUACCCUGGUAGUCCACGCUGUAAACGUUGGGCGCUAGGUGUGGGGACCUUCCACGGUUUCCGCGCCGUAGCUAACGCAUUAAGCGCCCCGCCUGGGGAGUACGGCCGCAAGGCUAAAACUCAAAGGAAUUGACGGGGGCCCGCACAAGCGGCGGAGCAUGUUGCUUAAUUCGACGCAACGCGAAGAACCUUACCAAGGCUUGACAUUGCCCGGAAACACUCAGAGAUGGGUGCCUCUUCGGAUCGGGUGACAGGUGGUGCAUGGCUGUCGUCAGCUCGUGUCGUGAGAUGUUGGGUUAAGUCCCGCAACGAGCGCAACCCUUGUUCAAUGUUGCCAGCACGCUCCUUCGGGGGUGGUGGGGACUCAUUGGAGACUGCCGGGGUCAACUCGGAGGAAGGUGGGGAUGACGUCAAGUCAUCAUGCCCCUUAUGUCUUGGGCUGCAAACAUGCUACAAUGGCCGGUACAGAGGGCUGCGAUACCGCAAGGUGGAGCGAAUCCCUAAAAGCCGGUCUCAGUUCGGAUUGGGGUCCGCAACUCGACCCCAUGAAGUCGGAGUCGCUAGUAAUCGCAGAUCAGCAACGCUGCGGUGAAUACGUUCCCGGGCCUUGUACACACCGCCCGUCACGUCACGAAAGUCGGCAACACCCGAAGCCCGUGGCCCAACCAGCUUGCUGGGGGGAGCGGUCGAAGGUGGGGCUGGCGAUUGGGACGAAGUCGUAACAAGGUA